UACGGAGGGGGCUAGCGUUGUUCGGAAUUACUGGGCGUAAAGCGCACGUAGGCGGCUUUGUAAGUUAGAGGUGAAAGCCCAGAGCUCAACUCUGGAACUGCCUUUAAGACUGCAUCGCUUGAAUCAUGGAGAGGUUAGUGGAAUUCCGAGUGUAGAGGUGAAAUUCGUAGAUAUUGGGAGGAACACCAGUGGCGAAGGCGGCUCACUGGACCGGUUCUGACGCUGAGGCGCGAAAGCGUGGGGAGCAAACGGG
rnacentral:rRNA from 1 species